GGUUAAGCGACUAAGCGUACACGGUGGAUGCCCUGGCAGUCAGAGGCGAUGAAGGACGUGCUAAUCUGCGAAAAGCGUCGGUAAGGUGAUAUGAACCGUUAUAACCGGCGAUGUCCGAAUGGGGAAACCCAGUGCAAUUCGUUGCACUAUCGUUAACUGAAUACAUAGGUUAACGAGGCGAACCGGGGGAACUGAAACAUCUAAGUACCCCGAGGAAAAGAAAUCAACCGAGAUUCCCCCAGUAGCGGCGAGCGAACGGGGAGCAGCCCAGAGUCUGAAUCAGCUUGUGUGUUAGUGGAACGGUCUGGAAAGUCCGACGGUACAGGGUGAUAGUCCCGUACACCAAAAUGCACAGGCUGUGAACUCGAAGAGUAGGGCGGGACACGUGGUAUCCUGUCUGAAUAUGGGGGGACCAUCCUCCAAGGCUAAAUACUCCUGACUGACCGAUAGUGAACCAGUACCGUGAGGGAAAGGCGAAAAGAACCCCGGCGAGGGGAGUGAAAAAGAACCUGAAACCGUGUACGUACAAGCAGUGGGAGCACCUUCGGGUGUGACUGCGUACCUUUUGUAUAAUGGGUCAGCGACUUAUAUUCUGUAGCAAGGUUAACCGUAUAGGGGAGCCGCAGGGAAACCGAGUCUUAACUGGGCGUUAAGUUGCAGGGUAUAGACCCGAAACCCGGUGAUCUAGCCAUGGGCAGGUUGAAGGUUGGGUAACACUAACUGGAGGACCGAACCGACUAAUGUUGAAAAAUUAGCGGAUGACUUGUGGCUGGGGGUGAAAGGCCAAUCAAACCGGGAGAUAGCUGGUUCUCCCCGAAAGCUAUUUAGGUAGCGCCUCGUGAACUCAUCUUCGGGGGUAGAGCACUGUUUCGGCUAGGGGGUCAUCCCGACUUACCAACCCGAUGCAAACUACGAAUACCGAAGAAUGUUAUCACGGGAGACACACGGCGGGUGCUAACGUCCGUCGUGAAGAGGGAAACAACCCAGACCGCCAGCUAAGGUCCCAAAGUCAUGGUUAAGUGGGAAACGAUGUGGGAAGGCACAGACAGCCAGGAUGUUGGCUUAGAAGCAGCCAUCAUUUAAAGAAAGCGUAAUAGCUCACUGGUCGAGUCGGCCUGCGCGGAAGAUGUAACGGGGCUAAACCAUGCACCGAAGCUGCGGCAGCGACACUAUGUGUUGUUGGGUAGGGGAGCGUUCUGUAAGCCUGCGAAGGUGUGCUGUGAGGCAUGCUGGAGGUAUCAGAAGUGCGAAUGCUGACAUAAGUAACGAUAAAGCGGGUGAAAAGCCCGCUCGCCGGAAGACCAAGGGUUCCUGUCCAACGUUAAUCGGGGCAGGGUGAGUCGACCCCUAAGGCGAGGCCGAAAGGCGUAGUCGAUGGGAAACAGGUUAAUAUUCCUGUACUUGGUGUUACUGCGAAGGGGGGACGGAGAAGGCUAUGUUAGCCGGGCGACGGUUGUCCCGGUUUAAGCAUGUAGGCUGGUUAUCCAGGCAAAUCCGGAUAAUCAAGGCUGAGGUGUGAUGACGAGGCACUACGGUGCUGAAGUAACAAAUGCCCUGCUUCCAGGAAAAGCCUCUAAGCAUCAGGUAACAUCAAAUCGUACCCCAAACCGACACAGGUGGUCAGGUAGAGAAUACCAAGGCGCUUGAGAGAACUCGGGUGAAGGAACUAGGCAAAAUGGUGCCGUAACUUCGGGAGAAGGCACGCUGGUGUGUAGGUGAAGUCCCUGCGGAUGGAGCUGAGACCAGUCGAAGAUACCAGCUGGCUGCAACUGUUUAUUAAAAACACAGCACUGUGCAAACACGAAAGUGGACGUAUACGGUGUGACGCCUGCCCGGUGCCGGAAGGUUAAUUGAUGGGGUUAUCCGUAAGGAGAAGCUCUUGAUCGAAGCCCCGGUAAACGGCGGCCGUAACUAUAACGGUCCUAAGGUAGCGAAAUUCCUUGUCGGGUAAGUUCCGACCUGCACGAAUGGCGUAAUGAUGGCCAGGCUGUCUCCACCCGAGACUCAGUGAAAUUGAACUCGCUGUGAAGAUGCAGUGUACCCGCGGCAAGACGGAAAGACCCCGUGAACCUUUACUAUAGCUUGACACUGAACAUUGAGCCUUGAUGUGUAGGAUAGGUGGGAGGCUUUGAAGCGUGGACGCCAGUCUGCGUGGAGCCAACCUUGAAAUACCACCCUUUAAUGUUUGAUGUUCUAACGUUGGCCCCUGACCGGGGUUGCGGACAGUGUCUGGUGGGUAGUUUGACUGGGGCGGUCUCCUCCCAAAGCGUAACGGAGGAGCACGAAGGUUAGCUAAUCCUGGUCGGACAUCAGGAGGUUAGUGCAAUGGCAUAAGCUAGCUUGACUGCGAGCGUGACGGCGCGAGCAGGUGCGAAAGCAGGUCAUAGUGAUCCGGUGGUUCUGAAUGGAAGGGCCAUCGCUCAACGGAUAAAAGGUACUCCGGGGAUAACAGGCUGAUACCGCCCAAGAGUUCAUAUCGACGGCGGUGUUUGGCACCUCGAUGUCGGCUCAUCACAUCCUGGGGCUGAAGUAGGUCCCAAGGGUAUGGCUGUUCGCCAUUUAAAGUGGUACGCGAGCUGGGUUUAGAACGUCGUGAGACAGUUCGGUCCCUAUCUGCCGUGGGCGCUGGAGAAUUGAGGGGGGCUGCUCCUAGUACGAGAGGACCGGAGUGGACGCAUCACUGGUGUUCGGGUUGUCAUGCCAAUGGCACUGCCCGGUAGCUAAAUGCGGAAGAGAUAAGUGCUGAAAGCAUCUAAGCACGAAACUUGCCCCGAGAUGAGUUCUCCCUGAGACUUUAAGUCUCCUGAAGGAACGUU
rnacentral:rRNA from 1 species